AGUCGAACGGUAGCAGGAAGUGCUUGCACUUUGCUGACGAGUGGCGGACGGGUGAGUAAUGCUUGGGAACUUGCCUUUAGGUGGGGGAUAACAGUUGGAAACGACUGCUAAUACCGCAUAAUGUCUACGGACCAAAGGGGGCUUCGGCUCUCGCCUUGAGAGAGGCCCAAGUGAGAUUAGCUAGUUGGUGGGGUAAAGGCCUACCAAGGCAACGAUCUCUAGCUGUUCUGAGAGGAAGAUCAGCCACACUGGGACUGAGACACGGCCCGGACUUCUACGGAAGGCAGCAGUAGGGAAUAUUGGACAAUGAGCGAAAGCUUGAUCCAGCUAUGCCGCGUGUGCGAUGACGGCCCUCGGGUUGUAAAGCACUUUAGGUAACGAGGAAAAGUUAGGUGUUAAUACCACUUAACCAUGACGUUAAUUACAGAAUAAGCACCGGCUAAAUCCGUGCCAGCAGCCGCGGUAAUACGGAGGGUGCGAGCGUUAAUCGGAAUUACUGGGCGUAAAGCGCACGCAGGCGGCUUGUUAAGCUAGAGGUGAAAGCCCCGCGCUCAACGUGGGAACUGCCUUUAGAACUGGCAGGCUAGAGUCUUGGAGAGGGGAGUGGAAUUCCAGGUGUAGCGGUGAAAUGCGUAGAUAUCUGGAGGAACAUCAGUGGCGAAGGCGGCUCCCUGGCCAAAGACUGACGCUCAUGUGCGAAAGUGUGGGUAGCGAACAGGAUUAGAUACCCUGGUAGUCCACACCGUAAACGCUGUCUACUAGCUGUUUGUGUAUUUAAUACGUGAGUAGCGAAGCUAACGCGCUAAGUAGACCGCCUGGGGAGUACGGCCGCAAGGUUAAAACUCAAAUGAAUUGACGGGGGCCCGCACAAGCGGUGGAGCAUGUGAUUUAUUCGAUGCACGCGAGAUCUUACUACACUUGACAUGCUGAGAGUACUAGAGAUAGUUUCGUGCUUCGGGACUCAGACCAGGUGCUGCAUGCUGUCGUCAGCUCGUGUCGUGAGAUGUGGGUAGUCCCGCACGAGCGCACCCUUGUCCUUAGUUGCAGCUAAGUUGGGCCUCUAAGAGACUGGCGGUGACAAUCGGAGGAGAGGGGGGACGACGUCAGUCAUCAUGGGCCUACUUGUAGGUUCUCACCGGCGUCAAGGCGGUUUCUAGGGAGCCGACGGUUGUGGGAGCGAGCCUUAUUAUGUAGAUCGCGAUGGAUUUGCACUGCACCUCUGGAGUGGGGAGCCCGGUAGUCACGCUGCGAUAUCGAGGUAAGAAUUGUUCCCGACCCGCUGCUAUAC
rnacentral:rRNA from 1 species